rnacentral:misc_RNA from 1 species
ACCAGAUUUUCUCAUUAUCUUUGCUUUUGCUUGCAUCACCAACUCUUUCAAAAGGACAGUGCUAAAAUAGUGUAUUCUUUUAUUGAAAAUUUCACAAUUGCAUUUGGGUUGAGGCUUUAUUUCUUGGAUUCUGAAGAGAAGAAAGUGCAAAGCUUUCUUACCGCAUUUGCUCUUCUUUCUCAUCACAUUAGCUUGUUCCCUUAAAAUAGCUAAAAAAGCAAAGGACUUUUCUCUGAAAUGGCGCUGUGAAGACCUGCCAUGAACAGAAGUUUGGACAGAGCGAAUCCAGAUAUUUUGAUUGUGAUGAUUGCAGUGAAGCAGAUAAUGAGGGGUGGUGAGGAGGACAAAAGAAGGGAAGGGAUGGGCCCUCAAAAGCCUGCAACAG